rnacentral:tRNA from 1 species
ACCUUCAUCUCCGGUCCCCAAAACCGGAAUCUUCCAAUUAAACUACCCUUUG